rnacentral:ncRNA from 1 species
GAAAACGCAAUGAACGGGAUCAGUAACCGAAAGCGGUCGUCAAGAGAGCUGCGGAUUUGGUGCGACGCAGUCGGCAUGUUCGGUGAAACUCACCCGGAAGCGGUCAAGCCCAAUGGUUCCCGCAGCCUCAAGCUGCAAAGGAAUCCCAAGUUUGAACGGACUCGCCCACGUGAGAGGGCCGACGAGCGGAUUUCGCUUUGUCCCAGGGACAAACGGAAUCAACGAGAGUGGUACCGCGACAGCACAGCCUGUCGUCUCUUGA